rnacentral:rRNA from 1 species
UGAAUACGAGACGCUAAGGCGUCGAAGUAGUGUAUAUCAGACUUCCAAGAAAAGCUUGCACUGUCAUAGAUAAAAAAUGCCUGUACCAUAACCGACACAGGUGGGUAGGUAGAGUAUACUAAGGGGCGCGAGAUAACUCUCUCUAAGGAACUCGGCAAAAUAACUCCGUAACUUCGGGAGAAGGAGUGCCUUAUUUAUAAGGUUGCAAUAACAAGAUCCAAGCAACUGUUUAUCAAAAACACAGGUCUCCGCUAAGUCGUAAGACGAUGUAUGGGGGCUGACGCCUGCCCAGUGCCAGGAGGUUAAAGAAGUUGGUUAGCAAUUGCGAAGCUGAUAACUGAAGCCCUGGUGAACGGCGGCCGUAACGAUAACGGUCCUAAGGUAGCAAAAUUCCUUGUCGGGUAAGUUCCGACCCGCACGAAAGGCGUAAUGAUUUGGAUACUGUCUCGGAGAGGGGCUCGGUGAAAUAGACUUGUCUGUGAAGAUGCGGACUACCUGCACCAGGACAGAAAGACCCUAUGGAGCUUUACUGUAACUUGAAAUUGAAAUUGGACUUUAUUCGCGCAGCAUAGGUGGGAGGCGUUGAUUAUAAUCUUGCGGGAUUAUUGGAGCCAUCAGUGAGAUACCACUCUUGUAAUGUUAGAUUUCUAACUUUGAAUCAUUAUCUGGUCAAAGAACAGUUUCAGGCGGGCAGUUUGACUGGGGCGGUCGCCUCCUAAAUGGUAACGGAGGCGUACAAAGGUUUCCUCUGAACGGUUAGAAAUCGUAUCUAGAGUGUAAAGGCAUAAGGAAGCUUGACUGUGAGACCUACAAGUCGAGCAGGGACGAAAGUCGGUCUUAGUGAUCUGACGGUACUGAGUGGAAAGGCCGUCACUCAACGGAUAAAAGUUACUCUAGGAUAACAGGCUGAUCUCCCCCAAGAGUUCACAUCGACGGGGAGGUUUGGCACCUCGAUGUCGGCUCAUCGCAUCCUGGGGCGGUAGUACGUCCCAAGGGUUGGGCUGUUCGCCCAUGAAAGCGGUACGCGAGCUGGGUUCAGAACGUCGUGAGACAGUUCGGUCCAUAUCCGGUGUAGGCGUUAGAAUAUUGAGAGGAGCCUUCUUUAGUACGAGAGGACCGAGAAGGACAUACCUCUGGUGUACCAGUUAUCGUGCCAACGGUAAACGCUGGGUAGCUAUGUAUGGAGUGGAUAACCGCUGAAAGCAUCUAAGUGGGAAGCCCACCUCAAGAUAAG